GAUGAACGCUGGCGGCGUGCCUAAUACAUGCAAGUCGAGCGAACGGACGAGACGCUUGCUUUUCUGUUGUUAGCGGCGGACGGGUGAAUAACACGUGGAUAACCUACCUAUAAGACUGGGAUAACUUCGGGAAACCGGAGCUAAUACCGGAUAAUAUUUUGAACCGCAUGGGUCAAAGGUGAAAGACGGUCUUGCUGUCACUUAUAGAUGGAUCCGCGCUGCAUUAGCUAGUUGGUAAGGUAACGGCUUACCAAGGCAACGAUGCAUAGCCGACCUGAGAGGGUGAUAGGCCACCCUGGAACUGAGACACGGUCCAGACUCCUACGGGAGGCAGCAGUAGGGAAUCUUCCGCAGUGGGCGAAAGCCUGACGGAGCAACGCCGCGUGAGUGAUGAAGGUCUUCGGAUCGUAAAACUCUGUUAUUAGGGAAGAACAGAUGUGUAAGUAACUGUGCACAUCUUGACGGUACCUAAUCAGAAAGCAACGGCUAACUACGUG
rnacentral:rRNA from 1 species